rnacentral:rRNA from 1 species
UACGUAGGGACCGAGCGUUGCCCGGAAUCAUUGGGCGUAAAGAGCGUGUAGGCGGCCUUUUAAGUCCUGCGUGAAAUCCUGCGGCUCAACCGCAGACGGUCGUGGGAAACUGGAAGGCUAAAGUGCGGGAGAGGAGAGUGGAAUUCCCGGUGUAGCGGUGAAAUGCGCAGAUAUCAGGAAGAACACCCGUGGCUAAGGCGGUUCUCUAGUACGGUACUGACGCUGAGACGCGAAAGCGUGGGGAGCGAACAGG